rnacentral:lncRNA from 1 species
AAGAACAUUUUACAAGAUCUUCACUCAAGAGGUAAGGUUUUAACCCUAGUCUUUAAUUUUGAGUUUGGGGUAAAAGAUGGGUGAUUGGGAGUAUAAUUCUUGGGUGUGAGAGUAUUAUGUAUACAUGCAUCUACCAAUAAGGUUUAUGGGAAGAUUGUUGAGGCCAAAUGGGUAAAGAUUGGGUUCUGAAGUGAAAGAAAUCUUAUGGAGGAACCUUGUAACCAAUUUGCACAUCUAAGUGUGUGAUAAAAUGCUCAAAUGAGCUAAAACCAUGAAUCUCUCCCUAAUUAUGAUUCAAUUUUAAUAUAUCUCUAGUUGAUUGGAAUUGCUAGAAUUGUUGGCUAAAUCCUCUCUUAGAAUUGAAUCACACGGUAUUCAUGUAAUUUAUGUAAGUCCCGAGUUGUUCAUUAUAAAAAUGGUCAUUCCGAAUAAGCUUGUGUUGAAAUAUAUAUGUUCAAUAUGUAUCCGAAAGGAUUUUAUCAUGUUAUGUUAUCAUUUGAGAAUGUGUUCAAAGUAUGGGCUGUACAUUAAAAAUGUUUCGAUCUCAAGUCAAGUUCAAACGAAGGCUAUUAUGCAAAAUUUUGUGAAAUAUCUCUAUGUGCCUAAGACUCUUAAUUGCUCAUAUAUGUACUAAAAACCUUGAUUUGAAAUGCCUUGUUGUUGAUGAUGAUUGUUAGAAAAGGAUGAUGUCGAUCCACACAUCAUUGUGGUGAGACGGCCUAGCUGAUCGGGUUGUGAUCGGAUGCCAUGCCGCACACAUGGUGGUGAUUGUGCUGGAAAUUGUAAUUGAAAUUGUGAUUGUGGUUGAUGUCUCAGAUGAGACGACCUAGCUGAUGGGGUCGUGAUCGGACUCCGUGCUAAAAGUACAGUGGUAUUGUGAACGGUGGCAUAUUGGUACUAAAUAUCUCCCAACUUAAGAUAUGGAAAUUUAUUUGAACAUUGUCUUGUUCCUAACUUGAGGUUUGAUGUUGUUUGAGGUUUCUACUGGUAUUAUGAUUGCUCUUGCUUGUAUUAUUAACCAUUCUAUGAAAGGGUGUUUGUCAUUCCUACUAGUACAAUUCCAUAUGUACUAACGUCCUAUUUUUCGGGGGCGUUGCAUCUUCAAUGGAUGCAAGUGGUUCCACAGCAGGAGGCAUUGAUCAGUGAUAGCGGUACACCCUCUUCCUAGCUGACUUGGUGAGCCCCACUUCAUUUCGGGGUCAUGUAUCUUUUGUUCCUUGUGUAUUGUGUUUGAGGUAUAGCCGGGGCCUUGUUGCCGGCACUAUCAUAGUACUCUUUUGUGUCUAUUAGAAUCUUUGUAGACAUAGUGUGGAUUGUAUAUUAGUUCUAGGGAAGUCAAACAAGAUAUGUUGUACUUGAAUUACUCGUUCCACUUCAGCCCACGAAAAUAUGUGUAAUUUGAGAGUUUAAAAUGAAGUAAUUAAU